rnacentral:lncRNA from 1 species
GACUCCCCUUGGGCCUCAGUGCUCCAUCUGUAAAAUGGAGGAGAUACCUAUAGUCCCUGAGAAGGAAGACUGCUGUCUCUUCAAGGUUAUCAAUAGUCCAGCUUAAGAGGAUCAAAGGUCUUGGACAUGUUUUGUAAGAAAUGCUUAGGGUCAGGGGUCCCAGGACCCUGCACUGGCCAGCAUACAGUCCUACUCAGUGCCAGGCUGAGGAUUUGAAAGGAUCUCUGUACUUGCUGUUUUCUAAGAAAACCUGAAGAGCUGAUGUCUUCAUGUGCUCUGACUUCCUGUCUUCAUCCUAGAAAGACUGAGGUACCAGCGGUUGCUCAGUCCACGCAGUCUUAGUCCGGCACUGAAGGCCUGAAGUUCCCUGGAGGGUCACUGCUACCAAGUCUACCUUAAUGUGCCCAGGAAGCUGGAGUCUGAGGUCAGUGGACAAUGGCUGCAGCCACAGACAGAUGUUUCAGAGAGUAGCUUGGACAAGUGUGCACUGUUUUUCUCUGACUCCUUCCUUACCCGGGCACUAGCCUGUUCGAAAUAUUGAGAACGUCUUUUCUCCAUCUGUCAAUCUUCUCCGAGAAAUGCCCCCUCUCACAAGACUGAUGACCCAGCCUUACGACAAGGGGACAACCAAGACCAAUCAUUACAUUCACUAAGACUGACACCAGAGAGGCCAAGAUGGAGCCAGUGUUUCAGACCCCAAGGAAGACAAAGCCACAGACAGCCUUUGAGUGUGGCUGAGCAGAUGUUUGAUUCUGGGCCAACACACAAUAGGCUCCUCCUACAACCUGCAUCACAAUUUGAGCUUCCCCAGCUCUGUCCUGUUUCCUGUAUCUUGGAUGCUAGUUUCCCUUUGGGCCUCUG